UAUGAUCAAAAAUGUUUUGAUUAAAUUUAAAUAUAAUUCGAAUAUUCUACUACAAUAAAAACAAAUUAUUUUCAACUUUUUAUCAACUAUUUUCAACUAUUUAUUUUUUCAACUAUUUAUCGUCUAUGUAUUAUGCCUAAGGAGCUGUUCGAAGUGACCGCCUUCGACUUCCAAACACUUUCUUAUCCUUUCUUGACAGAGUUUCGUACCCGCUGUAACAUUGCUGGUGUCACUAAUAAACAAGCAAAACGAAUCCUGUUUUUCAUGUCCUCUGGAGUUGUAGGUGCACUAGCCAUUACUUUGUCUUUUAUAAAUCCCCAUAAAAAAAAGUCAAGGGGGGUCAAAUCUGGCGAACGAGCAGGCCAGUUGACAGGACCACCUCGACCAAUCCACCUAUUUUCAAAAAUCUCAUUUAAAUAAGUACGGGCCUGUAUGGCAUAAUGGGGUGGAGCUCCGUCCUGCUGAAACCAUACGUUAGGAUUUAAAUUUUGAUUUAGUAGACGAGGUAACUAAUUUCUUAAAAAAUCUGUGUAGACCUGUCCAUUUAAAUGACCUUGGAAAAAAUGCGGACCAAUAACUCUAUCCUCGAAAAUACCACACCAUACGUUCACAGACCAGGGAUGUUGAUUUGGUACAGUUCUCAUCCAGUGAGGAUUAUUUGCUGCCCAGUAAUGCAUGUUGUGCCUGUUUACCUUUUAGAAAAACAAACAACCAAAACUUGAAUAUGUUCUAAUUUAAAUAAGUUAAAUCGUACCUGCCCGCAAUUAUUAAAAGAAGCCUCAUCAGAAAAAAUAACGUUUCUCAAAAAAUGAUUAUUUUCACGCAUUUUUGUUGAAAUCCAAGUGCAAAAAUUAAUGCGAUUCUCAAAAUCAUGUCCGUAAAGCUCUUGAUGAAGUGUAAUGUGGUAAGGAUGAAACUUGUACCGGUGCAGAAUUGUUAUAAUUGAUGAUUGACUAAUUCCAGCAUCUAAAGCAAGCCGCCUGGUACUGAUUUGAGGAUCAAUAGCUACUGCUCCUAAUACAGCAACUGCCUUAUUUUCAUCUGUUUGCGUUUUAAUCCGAUUUCGUCGUUUACUUUUUAGACUACCAGUCAUACGACUUCUGGUCUCCAGUCUCUUAAAGGCCAUAUGAGAUUUUGGAAUAUCCGGAAGCCUCUCGGCCCACACUACUGCAGCCUCCCUAUAAUUUUCUGCACUCCCCCAAAAUUAACAACAUAUCUACUUCUACACUGAAAUUCGCUUCAAUUUUUUUCUUUUUAAACACAAUUUACUUGUUAAUAACACGUUAAAAUUUUUAUGUGACAUUGCUUGUUAUGUUGGUAUGAAAAUCCUACUGUUACUAGGAUUUUCAUUUCCAUCCAUACUAGUAAAAUAAACAGUAGGAUUUCCAUGGCAACCGGCUGUUAUUAUGGUAAAAUAUUUGAAUUAUUUUUAAAUUUAAUCAAAACAUUUUUGAUCAUAAUUCCGUAACCAGCAGAGCAAUUUUAAAAAUUUUUUGUAAACAGACUUCAUAUUUUAUGUAGAUUCGUAUUUAAGAAUAAAAAACACGUCAUUCCAUUUAAAAUAAGGAAGUGACCCUCCCCCCCUCUUAGGGGGGUAAAGGGACAAAUGUCAAAAAUAUCACAAAAAGUGCCCCCCGGUAUACUUGAAAUGUCACCAAAAUGUAAAAAAAAGAUUUGCAGCCGUUUUUGAUAUAUCGCAUUGUAACACUUUAAAAAACUCACCCUGUAUAUUAUUGAUGGUAUGGUUAUAGUCCAAGAAUUGAAACCAACUUCCUCUUUGACUUUUAACGGUUUAGCACAAAUAUUCUUAAAUCGAAUGCUAAGUUGCGGACGGAAACACAAUGCUAAGAGAAUAACAGUUGUUUUUGACACUUACACAUGUAAUUCAUUAAAAUCUGCUGAGAGAUUCAGAUACAACAGAAUACAAAAUUUUUGGGUCUCGAAAAGUUCCAAUUUUUAAUGAUUUUCUCAAAUCAUCCAACAAUAAGAAGGCCUUAUUAGUUUUUACUGUAAGUUAUCUUUUGGAAUUUGCAGCAAAAUCUCUAAAUAAGAAUGAAACUUUAAUAGUAGCAGGAGGAUCUGAAAAUUCCGAAAAUGUCUAUAUUAUAACAACCGAUAAAGAGCCACAAAUUUGGGAAGAAUACAAAAGUAAUCAGAAAGAAGCAGAUACUCGAAUUAUUCUUCACGUCCUGGCAGAGCGAGAGCAUAGUAAUUCUAUUCUUGUCAAAUCUGUGGAUACCGACGUAUUACUUUUACUUUUACACCAUUUCAUUGUUACAAAACAAAUAAAGAGCUGUAAAUUACUUAUGGAAUUAGGGCAUUCAAAAAAUCAACGCUUCUUAGCAAUUCAGGAUGUAGUUCAAAAAUUGGGAAAAGCAGUUUUAAGAAACAUUUUGGCAGUUCAUUGCCUCACGGGAUGCGACACAACUAGUUCGUUUUUCAAAAUUAGUAAAAAAACAGCCUUUGAUGUACUAAUAAAAAAUAUCGUUAGGCUAAAAGAACUAUAUGAUCUGCCAUUUGUAUCGGAUACAGAAGCAGUUAAACGGAGUACACAAUUUAUUUUACUUCUAUAUAGAAACAAGGUCAAUGAUAUUUCUACCCUAAAUGCACUACGAUUGCAUUUAACUACAAAUGCAAAUAAAUCUGCCGUGGAACUGCCACCAACUGACGAUGCAUUCAAACAGCAUUUAAAAAGGUGCAUAUAUCAACUAAAAGUUUGGUAUAACAGUCACAUACCAUAUAUGAAUUUUGAAGACCCAAGAAAAUAUGGAUGGACAAAUGAUAUAGAGUCUAAUAUAUGGACUCCAAUAUUUGCGACACAGGAUCCCGUCCCAAAGGAACUACGGAAAAUUUUAGUUCUUCGAUGUUCCGAUGGAAACUGCAACACUAAAAAGUGUAUAUGUGUAUCCCAGGGCUUGAAGUGUUAUAACGAGUGCAACUGUAAAUUUUGUGGCAACAAAGACAUUAUAGACACACCAGAUUCAUUGGAAUCACAAAAUGAUGAUGACUAUUAAAAAUUAAAGUUCGUUUAAUUAAAAUAUUCAAAUAAAUUAUUUUUUUAAGUUUA